GGGGGGCGCCAACCCAGACAGGAUGACCACAUCAGUGAAUCAACCCACUCAGGUUGAAUCUUGAGCUGCAGUUCCAAACUCCAGAGUUCUUCCUGGUGCUGGAAGAGCACCCCCUUCAGUCUUCCUCCAUUUGAUCCUGUGAGUAACCUGGUGAAUAUCAGUGGUAUUCUCUCUGCACAGAAUGCAUAUCUGAAACUUUUUAAGUCUCUGUAUGAGUCUCUCUCUCCAGAGGAAACGUGACUCCAACGCCCGUCUGUAUGACCUGCCCAGUGCCUCCAUCACCUCCACCAAGCAGGAAGUCAUAAUUGCCGUGGGUUUCCCUGCUGGCAAGUGGACAUGUAUUCCUUUUUCUUUCUCUUCCUCACUUUUUACUGACAACUAUCUGCCUUCUUUUUUUUUAUCUAGCCGGGAAAUCAACCUUUUUCCACACACACAUCGUCCCCAAAGAUCACUUGCACGUGAACAUGGUGAGUGGAUCAGUGCACUGUUGGAUCUCUUAACAUCCACACACACCCAUCUACACACACUGACCUGAUCUGUGUUUGUCAAGACACCCUGGGCUUGUAGCAGAGCUGUGUAUCGGUCUGUGAGCGGACUCUGAUGGAGGGCCGCAGCGUGGUGGAGGAUAACACCAACCCAGACCCAGAGUCUUGCAAACGGUACUUGCCUCUGUGCUCCUACUAGUGUGUGGAGCACUUUUGGUUUGUAAUUCAUGAACAACCUAAACCACGUACAUAGCAGAUGGUGGUAAAUCUGCUACAUCCAUGAACCUAACCCUCCAGGUAUGAUGCUGUCAGCCAGAGUUUGGCCGUGUCCUGUUGCUGCUUCAACUGCUCUGCCUCCCUGGAGCAGGCCAAGCACAACAACAGAUUCCCUACGAUGGCCCCCUCACCACUAAGCACCUCAAAGUCAAUGGCAUGAUCUUCCACAGUCACAAGACUGCCACUGACUGGAUGGUACUGGAUGUGGCUCACCAGGGGUGGCAGGUAGCCUAGUGGUUAGAGAGCUGGGCCAGUAACCGAAAGGUUGCUGGAUCAGAAUCCCCGAGCUGA